CACGUAGGGGGCGAGCGUUGUCCGGAUUUAUUGGGCGUAAAGAGCUCGUAGGCGGCUUUGCAAGUCGGGUGUGAAAUCCCCAGGCUUAACCUGGGAACUGCAUCCGAGACUGCAUUGCUAGAGUAUGGGAGAGGGAAGUGGAAUUUCAGGUGUAGCGGUGAAAUGCGUAGAUAUCUGAAGGAAUACCGGUGGCGAAGGCGGCAUCCUGGACCAUUACUGACGCUGAGGCGCGAAAGCUAGGGGAGCAAACGGG
rnacentral:rRNA from 1 species